UACGAAGGGGGAUAGCGUUGUCCGGAAUUAUUGGGCGUAAAGAGCUCGUAGGCGGUUUGUUGCGUCGGCUGUGAAAUCCCGAGGCUCAACCUCGGGUCUGCAGUCGAUACGAGCAAACUAGAGUGUUGCAGGGGAGACUGGAAUUCCUGGUGUAGCGGUGAAAUGCGCAGAUAUCAGGAGGAACACCGGUGGCGAAGGCGGGUCUCUGGGCAACAACUGACGCUGAGGAGCGAAAGCGUGGGGAGCGAACAGG
rnacentral:rRNA from 1 species